UACAGAGGUCUCAAGCGUUGUUCGGAUUCAUUGGGCGUAAAGGGUGCGUAGGUGGUGGGGUAAGUCGGAUGUGAAAUCCCGGGGCUCAACCCCGGGCCUGCAUUCGAUACGGGCAGACUAGAGUUCGGUAGGGGAGUCUGGAAUUCCUGGUGUAGCGGUGAAAUGCGCAGAUAUCAGGAGGAACACCGGUGGCGAAGGCGGGACUCUGGGCCGAUACUGACGCUGAGGAGCGAAAGCAUGGGGAGCAAACAGG
rnacentral:rRNA from 1 species